GCGGGGCGCGGCGAGCCCGGGGCCGGGCUGGCAUGUUGGCUCCAUCGCUCCGUGCCAGCAGGCCAGAGCCGAGCCGGCGGCGGCGGCCCCAGCGCUAGCGCAGCCCCGGCCCUGCCGCAGCCGCUCCGGGCGCGGCCCGGCCCGGCCCGGGCCAUGUGAGCGCCGCGGGCCCGCCAGAGCCAUCUUGGGGGCUGCGGGAGCCUCCCCAUCACGGGCUCCGGGGCCGGCACGGCCGUGAUGCUCGCUCGGCUCCGCGCCUGCCCGCCCGCGGCGCGCCCGUGAAGCGCCGGCCCCGAGCGCCGAGCAGCGAACACCGAGCGCCGCCGGAGCUGCGGCUGCUGCCGGACCGGAGCUGCUGCCGGCACCGAGCUGCUGCUGCCGACACCGGGAGUGCUGCUGCCGACACCGGAGCCGCUGCUGCAGACACCGGAGCCGCUGCUGCAGACACCCGAGCUGCUGUGACCGACACCGGAGCUGCGGCUGCACCGACAGCUUGAGCUCCUGCCCGGCCCCGGAGCUGCUCCGACCUCGGGAGCUGCGGCUGCUGCGGACACGGGAGCUCCCCCGACACGGGAGCUGCUGUUACCGACACCGGAGCCGCUGCCGGCCCGGCCCCGCUCCGCUCCCUCCGACACCCGGAUCUGCGGCUACCGACACCGGAGCUCCUGCCCGGCCCCGCUCCCUCCGACACCCGGAUCUGCUGCUGCCGGCCCCGCUCCGCCCCGAUACCCGGAGCCGCUGCUGACACCGGAGCCGCUGCCGGCCCCGCUCCGCUCCCGCAGGAUCCCGCUCGCCCUCGGCCCCGCCUGAGCGCAGUCUGGAGAUGCUCCAUCCUGCCUGCAGCCCUCGGCUCCCCAGGAAACCUCUGAUCAGAGCUGGCAUCUAGGAGAGACCCCGGCCCGCGGUCCCAUGUCAGCGCCCUGACCCCAGAGCCCCCGCUGGCCGCUCUCAGAGCAGGAGCUGAAGGAUGCUGGGCGGGAGGAGAACUGUCUGAGCCUGCAGCAUGCCAGCGUGUGCCCCCGAGCGCUGCAGCACGGCCAGGUACAAUCAGACUAUGCCCACCUUCGGGAAACCCUGCUCAGAGUGACCAGAGGACGAGAUUUGGCUGUGGGGGGAAAACACCAGCUCCAAGCCAAGCUGGAGAACCUAGAGCAGGUCCUGAAGCACAUGCGAGAGGCUGCGGAGCGGCGGCAACAGCUGGAGCUGGAGCAUGAGCAAGCACUGGCUGUCCUCAACGCCAAACAGCAGGAGAUCGAGCUGCUGCAGAAGGCUCAGGUUGAAGCCAAGAAGGAACAUGAAGGAGCAGUUCAGUUGUUAGAGAGCACCCUGGACAGCAUGCAGGCCAAGGUGCGGGAGCUGGAGCAGAAAUGCCGGACGCAGAGCGAGCAGUUUAAGCUGCUGUCGCGGGAGCUGGAGCGGUUCCGGCAGCAGGCGGGCACCAUCGAGCUCCUGGGCACCUCCUCCUCCUCCUCCUCCUCCUCGCUGGCCCCGCCGGGGCCCCCCGGGAAAGCCCUGGCACAGCUGAUGAACGGCAUCGCCACCUCCAUCGGAAAAGGCCACGAGAGCCCCUCUGGAAGUCGCUGUGUGAUCUCAGAGUUCAUCAGACCCCUGCAGGUCUCUGGGGACAAACCAGAGCAGCUGUCUGUCAAACCCACCUUCCUGUCCAAGUCCAGGGCUGGCACCCCAAGAUGCAGAUUUGAUUCAGACAUGGAUAAUGAUCAGAAUUCCAAUACCUCAAAGCAGAGAUAUUCUGGGAAAGUCCAUCUUUGCAUUGCCCGCUACAGCUACAACCCCUUCGAUGGCCCCAACGAGAACCCCGAGGCCGAGCUGCCUCUCACGGCAGGGAAGUACCUCUAUGUGUACGGGGACAUGGACGAGGAUGGCUUCUAUGAAGGAGAGCUUCUGGACGGGCAGCGGGGGCUGGUGCCCUCCAACUUCGUGGACUUUGUGCAGGACAGCGAGGCGCGGCUGUCGAGCGUGGAGGAGCAGAACGCGCUGAACCGCGCGGGCGCCGCGCUGGAGGCAGAGCUGGAGCUCAGCCCGCCCGCGGCCCUGGAGCCCGGCAGCGCGCUCAGCAACGGCGCGGGCACCCUGGACGUCAACAUCGACGAGAUCGGAGAAGACAUUGUGCCUUACCCCCGCAGAAUCACCCUCAUCAAGCAGCUGGCCAAGAGCGUCAUCGUGGGCUGGGAGCCGCCGCUGGUGCCGCCCGGCUGGGGCACCGUCAGCAGCUACAACGUGCUGGUGGACAAGGAGGUGCGGAUGAACAUCGCCCUGGGCAGCAGGACCAAAGCCCUGAUAGAGAAGCUCAACACCUCCGCCUGCACCUACAGGAUAUCCAUCCAGAGCAUCACCAGCAAGGGCAGCUCCGACGAGCUGCAGUGCACCUUGCUGGUGGGCAAGGACGUCAUCGUGGCCCCCUCCAACCUGCGCGUGGACAACAUCACCCAGAUCUCUGCCGAGCUCUCCUGGCUGCCCACCAACAGCAACUACAGCCACGUCAUCUUCCUCAACGAGGAGGAGUUUGACAUUGUCAAGGCUGCUAGCUACAAGUACCAUUUUUUUAAUUUGAAGCCCAAUAUGGCCUACAAGGUGAAGGUCAUGGCAAAGCCCCACCAGAUGCCCUGGCAGCUUCCCUUGGAGCAACGAGAGAAAAAGGAAGCCUUUGUGGAAUUUUCUACGUUGCCAGCAGGUCCCCCAGCCCCGCCUCAGGAGGUGUGUGUGCGGGCAGGGAGCGCCCCAGGGACCCUCCAGGUGUGCUGGAAGCCCCCAGCGCUGUCAGCCACGGGGACGUCCCACGGUGCCACCGUCACAGGCUACGCGGUCUAUGCCAAAGGGCAGCGGGUGUCCGAGGUGUCCCUCCCCGCCGCAGAGGGCACGCCGCUGGAGCUGCCGCGGCUGCGCGCCCUGGACGCCCGCGAGCUCACCGUGCGGACGCUCUCGGUGCAGGGCGAGUCCCUGGACUCUGCCCCUGCUGCCAUUCCCCCCGAGCUCCUGGUGCCUCCGCCCCCCCAGCCCCGCACUGCUCCCAAAGCCAAGCCAUUAGCAAGUGCCGGAGCCCCAGAAACCAAAGAAGAACAUUUCGGGCCGCAUUUCAAGCGGGAUGAGUCCUGGGAGCAGACUCGCUCGGUGUCCCCCGGGCACGGACACAUGCUGGAGCCACCCGCCUUCCACGGCCCCCUCCAGGGCAGGAGGUCUCCGUCCCCCAACAGGAUCCUGCCCCAGCCUCAAGGCACUCCGGUCCCCAACACCGUCGCUAAAGCCAUGGCGAGGGAAGCUGCACAGAGGGUGGCCGAGAGCAACAGGAUGGAGAGGAGGAGCGUUUUCAGCGAGAGGAGCAGCGCAGCCCCGUACUCGGACGAGGAGGAGGAGGAUGGCUACGACUCGCCCAGGGUGAAGCGAAGGGGAGCCUCGGUGGAUGAGUUCCUGAAGGAGUCCGAGCUGGGCAAGCAGGCUCACUACUGCCUGGGGGACGAGUACCACACGGAGAGCAGCCGCGGCUCGGACCUGUCCGACAUCCUGGAGGAGGAUGAGGAGGAGCUCUACUCCGAGAUGCAGCUGGAGGAGGGCGGGCGGCGGCGCCUGAGCCUGGGCUCGCACGGCACGCUCAAGCUUUUAGGUAACCCGGCCUCUGCAGGACGGCCUGACAGGGUGGAGCAUGCGGGGCGAAGGUCCUCCCAUGGCAGUGCAGUGCCACAAAGGUCUCGGCCCCUGCUGGUCCCCUCCAUUGAUGGCUACGGUGGCCACGACCGCCUCUCCCCAGACCUGUACGAGGAGUCUGAGACAGACCCUGGCACAGAAGACCUUUCCACUCGAAUCUUUGUUGCACUUUUUGACUACGACCCGCUGACCAUGUCCCCGAACCCCGAUGCUGCAGAGGAGGAGCUGCCCUUCAAGGAGGGACAGAUCAUUAAGGUUUAUGGGGACAAAGAUGCUGAUGGGUUUUACCGUGGAGAAACCUGUGCAAGAGUUGGCCUUAUCCCCUGUAACAUGGUCUCUGAGAUACAGGCAGAUGAUGAAGAGAUGAUGGAUCAGCUCCUUAAACAAGGUUUCCUUCCCUUGAACACUCCAAUUGAGAAAAUAGCAGAGCCCCGUGGCCGGCGCGGGGGCCGGCAGCAGCCGCUGACCACCCGCAGGAUGGUGGCUCUCUACGACUACGACCCCAGGGAGAGCUCCCCCAACGUGGAUGUGGAGGCCGAGCUGACCUUCUGCACUGGGGACAUCAUCACUGUCUUUGGUGAAAUCGAUGAAGAUGGAUUUUACUAUGGGGAGCUCAAUGGACACAAGGGGCUGGUUCCUUCCAACUUCCUCGAAGAAGUGCCUGACGAUGUGGAAGUGUUUCUCUCGGACGCGCCCGCGCGCUACGCCCACGACGCGCCCACGCGAGCCAAGGCCAAAAGGCCAGUGUGCCAUCUUCUCUAAUCUGUACAUAAAGUUUGCUAGCCAAUUUUAAAGAAAAGGCAUUUAAAGGACAUUAAAAAGUUCCUCCUGAGAAUACAGGUACCUCCCGGAGAGCACCUUCCCCCACAGUUCAUCUCCAUUCCGGGUCUCCUCCGUCUCCUGUGCUGGGCUCUGGGAGCCCCGGCAGAGGCAGGGAUAUGGCCUCGAAAAAGAAAAAGGGGCUGCUUUCCAAAGGCAAGAAACUGCUGAAAAGGCUUGGUGCAGUGAAAUGAGUCAUGUGCUCCUGGACAACUUGUAAAGCUUCCAGUCUGUGUACUUUUUUUUUUUUAAAGUCAAAACUAGGGCUUUCAUGACUAUGCAGUACUUUACCAGACCGUUGCAUUUUUAACUCUGACAUCAAUAGAGUCAUGCCAAUUGCUUAAUCAAAACAGCAAGGAAAAAAGGUAAAUGCAUUUGUUGUUGCAAAAACAUUUUUUAAAAAGUAAACAAAAAAAAAAAAAAGAAAAAAAAAAAAGCUUAUGGGCUUAAGACCAGAAGAACAUGGUUUUAUUUGAAGACAUCUCAACACCUGCAACUCCAUUGGAAAAAUCUCAGCCUUUAUUCUCCUUUAACCAUGAGUGGGGGGAGAAAACUCAAUCACUAAUUGCUAAGUUCAGAGAGAUCACCCCACUGGAUCCACUCAUUAACAAAAAUGGUCUUGAAACUCCUAGUUGAAUCAGCCUUGAUGUUUUGCCUUAUUACUGCACAAUGAUUUGUACUGUCUAAUAAAUAUGCAGCGUAUACCUUGUAUGUACUGUGUAUGCAGCUGUGUCCAUCCUCCCUCCACCAGUAGCUCCAGGUGAACACUGGUACUGCCCCAGCCCUGUCUGAUGGACUCCUGGCAGUGUGCAAGUGCUGUGCUAAACCCUUCUCAGUUUUGGUCCCCCAGUAAAAACCACACCCUCUACUGGUUUGCCAUUCUCACUCCAGGGGAACCAGGCAGUGCAAGUUACUCAGAACCUCACCCCAUUUCAGUCUCCAGUUCUGGGGUUCCUGGUUCCCUGUUCUAAGCUAUGGGAAAAAACCAACUGCACACCAAAAGCCCUUUAGUCCCUGUUUUUUUCUGUGGAGGUUCAGUCCUAGGUUAAAAGGCAUUUUCAUUCUGCUGCUGUCAGAUUGAGGCAAGUCCAUCUGCAGUGAAAGGACAAAGUGUUCCAGCCACAGCCCCACGAGGCUGCACCAGGCUCUAUCAACCCCCAACUGCAACAUUGGCAUAUCACAAAAACCAAUCCUCCACACUGAUGGCAGUCAUUGGCUGUUACUAUUUUGUAAUUCUUGUCCAUUUGUAAAUUGUUUUUACUGUUUAUACAUACUUUUCAGACUGCCUUUCUUUUUGUAAUUUACGGAAGGUUUAUAAAUGAAUGAUCAAAGCUUCCCCAUUGUGUCUUCAGAUAACAAUGUAAAUUACUGUAAAAUACUGUGUGCUAGAUUAUAACAUUUAAUUAAAGAAAAUAACUGGCCUACAUUUGUGGUAAAGUACCGUGUGGGUGUGUGCAUGUGUACAAUCGUUGUGUAUUAUAUUUUAUAUAAAUAAAUAAUUUGAUAUUUUGUA